rnacentral:rRNA from 1 species
AGAUUGAACGCUGGCGGCAUGCCUUACACAUGCAAGUCGAACGGUAGAGUAGCAAUACUCGAGAGUGGCGAACGGGUGAGUAAUAUAUCGGAACGUGCCCAGUCGUGGGGGGAUAACGUAGAGAAAUUUACGCUAAUACCGCAUACGAUCUAAGGAUGAAAGCGGGGGACUCGCAAGAGCCUCGCGCGAUUGGAGCGGCUGAUAUCAGAUUAGGUUGUUGGUGAGGUAAAAGCUCACCAAGCCGACGAUCUGUAGCUGGUUUGAGAGAACGACCAGCCACACUGGGACUGAGACACGGCCCAGACUCCUACGGGAGGCAGCAGUGGGAAUUUUGGACAAUGGGCGAAAGCCUGAUCCAGCAAUGACCGCGUGCAGGAAGAAGGCCUUGGGUAGUAAACUGUCUUUUAGUACGGAACGAAAAGGUCUAGCCGUAAUACGGCGGCCAGUGACGUACGUAAGAAUAAGCACCGGACUAACACGU